rnacentral:rRNA from 1 species
GAUGAACGCUGGCGGCGUGCCUAAUACAUGCAAGUCGAGCGAAUGGAUUAAGAGCUUGCUCUUAUGAAGUUAGCGGCGGACGGGUGAGUAACACGUGGGUAACCUGCCCAUAAGACUGGGAUAACUCCGGGAAACCGGGGCUAAUACCGGAUAACAUUUUGAACCGCAUGGUUCGAAAUUGAAAGGCGGCUUCGGCUGUCACUUAUGGAUGGACCCGCGUCGCAUUAGCUAGUUGUUGAGGUAACGGCUCACCAAGGCAAUGAUGCGUAGCCGACCUGAGAGGGUGAUCGGCCACACUGGGACUGAGACACGGCCCAGACUCCUACGGGAGGCAGCAGUAGGGGAUCUUCCGCAAUGGACGAAAGUCUGACGGAGCAACGCCGCGUGAGUGAUGAAGGCUUUCGGGUCGUAAAACUCUGUUGUUAGGGAAGAACAAGUGCUAGUUGAAUAAGCUGACACCUUGACGGUACCUAACCAGAAAGCCACGGCUAACUACGUGCCAGCCGCCGCCGCAG